UACGUAGGCAGCGAGCGUUGUUCGGAAUUACUGGGCGUAAAGAGUGUGUAGGCGGUGCUCUAAGUUCGGUGUGAAAUCUCCUGGCUCAACUGGGAGGGUGCGCCGGAAACUGGAGUGCUUGAGCGUGGGAGAGGAAAGCGGAAUUCCACGUGUAGCGGUGAAAUGCGUAGAGAUGUGGAGGAACACCAGUGGCGAAGGCGACUCUUUGGCCUGUAACUGACGCUGAGGCGCGAAAGCGUGGGGAGCAAACAGG
rnacentral:rRNA from 1 species